rfam:Gorilla gorilla gorilla genomic chromosome, chr6, whole genome shotgun sequence
GGGGGUAUAGCUCAGGGAUAGAGCACGUGGUUAGCAUGCAUGAGGUCCUGCGUUCAACUUCCAGUAUUUCCA